rnacentral:tRNA from 1 species
GGAAGAGUGGCUGAGAGGUCGAAGGCACCGGUUUCGAAAACCGGCAGGCUCGCAAGGGUCUCGUGGGUUCAAAUCCCACCUCUUCCGCAA